AAGUCGUAACAAGGUAACCGUAGGUGAACCUGCGGUUGGAUCAUUAAUGUAAAUCUACCAUUGUGUCUGCUGAACGGUGUCAAAACCAGGAAGCAUUGAUGCACAGUCCAUCCUCACCGGGAUGGCACUGACCAACACCUAUGUGAACUGUUCUUACUGUCUCUGGCAGUGGGGGUGUGUCCUGCUUUAUUGCCAGGCUGCACUCUGUCAACCACUUUUGUGGUGGUCGUGGACAAGCUGCCAAAAACCUUCAUUAUACACCUUUUUAUGCUGACAUGUUUUACUAUGUGUAGAACACUCAUUCUAUAACUUUUGGCAACGGAUCUCUUGGCUCUC
rnacentral:misc_RNA from 1 species